rnacentral:rRNA from 1 species
CAAAAUGGGAGGUAAAUUUCUCCUAAGGCUAAAUAUUGGCGAGAGACCGAUAGCGAACAAGUACCGUGAGGGAAAGAUGAAAAGAACUUUGAAAAGAGAGUUAAACAGUACGUGAAAUUGUUGAAAGGGAAACGAUUGAAGUCAGUCAUACCAACGGGAAAUCAACCUUUUGAGCUCGGUCUCGUGGGUUUUGAAGAGUUUCAAAGCCUUCGGAUUCGCGGGAUUGGGAUCACUUGGCGUACUUUUUCGUACGGUUAGUCAACAUCGGUUUUGAAUGUCAUAAAAUGACUGGAGGAAUGUAGCUUCGAUCUCGUAUUGAAGUGUUAUAGCCUUUGAUAGAUGUGAUGUUUGAGACCGAGGAUUGCAACGGAUACCCUUCAGGGCUUUCGUCUGAUCUCUGAUACAUUGCCUUGAUGUUGAAAGCUUGCUUAUGAUGUUAGGGUAUUACGGUCAAAAGGUUAGAACGAAUUACA